AACGCGAAGAACCUUACCUACCCUUGACAUGUCUGGAAUCCCGAAGAGAUUUGGGAGUGCUCGCAAGAGAACCGGAACACAGGUGCUGCAUGGCUGUCGUCAGCUCGUGUCGUGAGAUGUUGGGUUAAGUCCCGCAACGAGCGCAACCCUUGUCUUUAGUUGCCAGCAGCUUGGCUGGGCACUCUAGAGAGACUGCCGAGGAUAACUCGGAGGAAGGUGGGGAUGACGUCAAAUCAUCAUGCCCCUUAUGCUUAGGGCUACACACGUGCUACAAUGGCUGUUACAAAGGGUUGCCAAGCCGCGAGGCGGAGCUAAUCCCAUAAAGACAGUCUAAGUUCGGAUUGCAGGCUGAAACUCGCCUGCAUGAAGCUGGAGUUACUAGUAAUCGCAGAUCAGAAUGCUGCGGUGAAUGCGUUCCCGGGUCUUGUACACACCG
rnacentral:rRNA from 1 species